AUUGUUUGAUGUAGUUAUUAAUGUUUUGCUUGUGAACAAAAAUAAAACGUGUGUAAAAUUAUUCAUAGACUAUAUUUUCAUCACCUAAAAAUAUGGCUACUUUAAUUGAUAAAAUAGAAAUGUUAAUUAAAAGAGAAAAGACUACACCAGAACGAAAGAAAGAUGACACCACAAAGUCCUCGAGUGAGAUACUUUCCGAACUAUUUAGUGCCUUUAAUGCCGACCCACCGAAAAUUGACGAAAUUCCUCAUAAGAAAUCUAAAAAAAGUAAAAAGAAACAUAAAAAGGAAAAAAAGAAGCGUAGUCGUAGUGUAAGUUCGGGUAGUGAAUCGGAAAAGAGUGAAUAUUCUCACAAAAGAAAGAAAAGAAAAAAGGCUAAAUCAAAGAAACGAAAGGAAGUGCGAUCUCCUUCAAACUGCCGUUCAGGAACACCCGAAAUAAUAAAACCUAAAACAGAACUACUCAAAACAAAGAUCAAAAAAGAAUCUAUCCAAUUCAAACCUGAAUCUAAAAUUAAAAAGGAAAUCAAAAUCAAUAAAGUACCGGAUAACAAGGUACCUGUUAAGACUGUAGAUUCCAACAAUACAAAUUCCUCUUUGAAUAUAGAUGCAAGCAUGAUACCAAUGCCAGAAUCUCCAAAGGAAAUAAAACUUGAAUCUAAUGAUCUCCGAAUACAGCUGGACAAAAAGAUUGAUACCACAACAGAAAGUGACAAGGCAAAAGGAAAAAUUCAAAUAAAAAACUUAAAAUUUAGUGCAGUGUUUGAAGAAACAGUUAAAAAAGCAGAAGAAGAAGCGAGAAAGAAAGCUGAAAAGGUUGAGGAGGGUGAAUAUACUGAUUCAUCAAGUAGUUUAGAAAGAGACGAGGAGUCUAAUUCACAAUUCCCCAAGUCUUCAGAUCCUGGUGGUAUAUUAAAACAGCAGGCUGCUGAGGAAGUCAAAGUUCCUGACAAGGUGAGCACUGAAGAUAAGUCUUCCAUUAAACAAAAGCAAACAGAAAGUACAAACAAGCCUUCAAAAAAAGAAAGGAGUCGAUCCAGAAAGAGAUCCCGCAGCAAGUCCAGACGUUCCAGAUCUCACUCGACAUCACGGCGUAGACGCCGUAGAUCACGGUCAAAGUCAAAGCGUAGAAGUCGUUCCAGGCACAGAUCUAGAUCAAAACGGAGAUCUAAAUCAAGAUCGCGGCACAGGUCUUCCUCAAAAUCACGCCAUAGAUCCUCGUCGAAAUCACGACACAGAUCUUCCUCGAAAUCACGACAUAGGUCUAGACAUCAUUCACCGAGACAUAGGGGUCGGAGAUCGAGAUCACCAACAGGUGUAAAAUUAGCUGAUAGUGAAAAGAAACGUCUUCUUGAAGUAGCAAGGCGAAACGCAAUCAACAUGCUUAAAAAUGGUGCUGUACCAGCUGGAGCAGCUGUUUUGCCUCCACACACAAGAAAUCAAGUCAUGGCUGCCAUACAAUCUGGAGGUAAAUCUGUGGAUGAACUGACAGACUUCUGCAAGCAUCUAUCAAAAAAAGAAGCACUCGGUGAACUGUCAUCUGUCUCCUCUAAUGAUGAUAACAUGAGUGAGAAUGAAGAUACCAUAGCAUUUCAUCAUCCCUUCUUAGUCAAAGAAAAGGCUCCUAUUGUUAUGAAUAUAAGAGGUGGGGCCCCUCUGCCAGCAAAAUCCUCUAUACUGCCAAUAGCCAAUAAAGAAGAACUUCGACUUCAGUUUCCUGUGUCUUCUGGUACACAGCAUAGAGAAAAAGCAUCAGAAUGGGUUCCCGUUUCACCUAAAAAAGACAUGCAAGUUGCAAAGCUGAAUGCCAAAUCACCAACAAGAUCCACCACACCUCCAGAACCAUUUAGUAUAUGUUCUGCCCCAUUGGCGCUUCCUGCGCCGCCGUCGACUUCUCCUUCAUACUUGAAGAGUUUUACAACAGGGAGCCAGCUAUCAUCUGUUCCUGCUUUACCAGCUCCCGGUCCUCAGGCAUAUCCCCCUGGUGUAGAUUCUCCAAUUAUCGAUGUGGAGUCAAUCGUUUCCCAGAAGUUACUAAUGAUUCGUAAAGAACAGGAACAAAAUGAACUAGAUAAUACACAAGGUGUAAUAUCGCUCCCGCAGUUCGGCUGGACGAAGGAGAGUCGGCCGGGCCAGUUCACGGGCUCCACGGGCGCGCACAUCCUCACGCCGCGCGAGCUCGCCAGCGGCACGCAGGCCUGGGCCAAGAAGCUCGGAUCGCCGUUCGGGAUACGGGUUAUCUACUCAAUGGUCCGGCGGCCUCAGUCAGAAAUUAUAAUACUAUGUAUUAUUCUUUCUGACUUUAUAAAUAUUUUGUGAUGGUUAUGACAACAUUGCUUACAACAUUAGUUUUGUUAUAUGCUAAUACUAACUAUUCCCCGCCACCUUCGCUGGGCGUUAACAAAAAAAAUGAUCCAUUUUGAUAAUAUUAGUAACAAUAUGCUAAACUCUAUUUAAUGCUCAUUCAAAGCAAAGGCUUCUUCUGUUCAACACACACGGCGCGAGAUUUACUCUUGUAAUUAUUAUUCGUAUUCAUUCCCACCACAAUAAUGUUUUCACAAAAUUAGGUAACGAUAAAUUAUAUUUAUUUAAACAAAUACUGUAAAAAUUAUCAAGCUUAAUUUACCUUUGGUGAAGUUUCAUACGACAGAGUCUCAAAUUAAAACUGAAAAUAAUAAUAUUCCUGUAUCAAAUGUAUACAAAUAAAAUAUUAAUUACUUGUUUAAAAAAGUUCUGAUGUUUUCGUUUAAUAAGGAAUGUAUUUCAGCAGCUAAUGUUGUUGUAACCAUCUAGUUAAAAACCCGAUUUACUCACGUCAAGUGUAAAGAGAGAACUUUUUUAGUUCGCUCAUUACACUCUUAAGUUACUGUAAUUGCACAAGAUGGUAAUUUUCAUGCCAUAGAUUAUGGCAUGUCAUUUAUCAUUGCCAUUAUUGCAUACAGAUAUUCAGUUUUCCCCUUCUUAUAAGACUGGCUAAUAAAAAAAACAGUAUUAGAAACACAAAUAUAUAUAUAACUUAAGGGUGGAGUUAUCAUAAAAGAAAGUUAACACUAUUUCAUAUAAUAUUUUAAAUAAUAAUAUUUGACUGUUUAAUUGGUAACCCAUGCCUUCAAUACACUUCACUCUGUAUAUAAAAGUUCGAUUGUUCUUGAAAGAAGCAUAAAAAUUACAGAUAUGCUUUAGAUUAUAUUUUAAAUGAAUAUAAAUUAAUUUUCUUUUAUGGAUCUAUUUUUAUAAAAUAAUUGAUAUUCGUAUGAUUAAGCAAUCACAACUUGCCCAAGCACUGUUUAACUUAGUCAGUCCAUGUACAUUAUAUAGUCUAGUGAUUUUUUGGAUAAAAUCAACCGGUCUCCAAGAUAAACUAGGCUUAAAUGGGGAAAUCUUGAAUAUUUGUUGCAGCUUUUAAAAGAUAAGGAGACGCGAGCACUUCGAUAGACGCACCGCCGUCGACCAUAGGUGCAAAUAAUGUACCCGUUGCAAAGGAUCAACUAGUUCGUGCUGCGCCUGUUGAAGGCGGUAUGGGGAUGCAACUUCUUCAGAAGAUGGGUU